CUCCGCCUCCCUCAGCUCUUCGCCUCCCUUAGGGCCUCAGUUAUCUGUUUUUUUGUUCUCUCUUUGAACAAGAACAAAAACCCAGUUGGAGUUUUGUAGUUUCAAACCGCCAGAUCUGUUCUACAAUGCUAGGUACGUGUAGUUCUUGUUUUCUCUAUGCUUUUCAUUCCAAUGGGUGUUCUAGGUUUUGCUAAAGAUAAUAUUUUUUUAUCAGAUUGGGUUUUUGGUUGUUGUUAUGUGAGAUUUGGGAGCUGGGUUUUGUGUAGGAGGUUGUUUGUGAUGGUGGGUGUGGA